ensembl:processed_transcript
AUUUUGAGCAGGAAAUUUCUGGAGAUUCAGUCCGCCGAGAGCCUUCAGAGAGCUAGGCUCAGGACUCCGGUGCUUUCAGGAUACAGGGAAACCUGUGGCCAGCAGAAGCAGGAUGCAAAGAUAUUGUUCUGAAAUCCUCUGGGCAGCAAGAGCUGGUGCCCGUUAAGCACGUGGAUUGAUGGAGGAGGAGUUAAGCUGCCUCACUGCGGAAGAGUGUGUACUUUAAGGUAAUGUUAGAGAAUUCACCAGAACCUGGUCUCCCUGGGGUACUAGUUCCCUAAAUGUGGCCUGAUUUCACUUCAGGAAGAAGAGGCACGGCAAGCAACAGAGGAAGACGACGGUGCAGAAAUGUGGAAAAGUCCUGAGAGGAGACCUGAAGAACCAGUCCCAGGGCAGAGCCCUCCCUGCAGAGGAACCAGUCCCAGGGCAGGAAUGGAGGACAACUUCUGACAUGCUUGUGUUGGGGUCUUCUCUAAUGACACUUCGGAAAUGCACCAGGGCAAUCAGGAACAGCAGUUUUUUGGUGAGUGCUGUACCAGUGAGCCACCCUGGGACCUUUGUGCCAGGGGAAACAAACCUUGUGAACAGCUUUGAUCUUGGCAGCCCUCCAGGAAAUGACCCCCCUCCCCAGUAACAAUCUCCUCCUGGAGUCCACACCAGCUCCAAGCCAGGGGACAUGCAAAUUUUGCAAAAGAAUCUUUAGCAGUCAAGUAGUUCUCAGGAAACGUGAGCUAGUCUGUACCUGAAAGAGGCCCUUCAGAUGUGCCCAGUGCAUGGAUACCACACCGCUCUCAUGCCACGCCUCAGCAGACACCUGACGUCCUGGUGAGUGUUAUGCCACCUCCGUUCUACGCCAUGAGGAAGGGGAGAGAAUGCACCAGUGGGCUCGUGAAGCAGCAAAAUCUUUUUAUUAUUCCAACUACAGAAGUGGAGUCGCUGAUUGAUCAGGACGGCCAGAUGAGGACUCAGGAGCCAUGUUUCGUCUGGCAGCCAGGGUUUAUAUAAAGCAAGCACCCGACCCAAGUUACAGUUACAGUUCUCACCAAUAAGGAAGGAUUGGGGGUUAGGAACUUUGCCCAGCGUUGUUCCAUCAUUGUCAACUGACAUUGAAUGUAAAUUUUUUUUACCUAGCCAGUCAAAUUCAUCUCUUGUUUCUGUUGUUAGGAACAGG